UUCAAUUAAACCCAGCUAUAUUAUAAUACCUUUUGCUUUAGUUUUCCUUGCAAGAAAUAAACAAAACACAUCUAAACUAAACCUAACCUCGCUUUUGGCCAAUCAUUCAUCUCCGUGUCAAAUAAUUUCGACAGUCGAAAUUAUAAUAUCAACACCCUUUUUAAAGUCGCUAUUAAUUUCGAUAGUCGCUAUUUCAUGACGUCACUUCGUUAGUUCAACUAAAAUCCACAAGGCUCGCACAAUCGCAUUUCAACCGUCGCCAUAUUGAAAGCGACUUGUUUAGUGUCGAAAUUUGAUUUAGAAUCAGGGCCCUGGUUGAAAAGAAGACAUUGAUUUCAUUACUAAGGCACCCAGGAGAAGGGCAUGGCCCUAACCCUCAAAUAUGAGUAUUAUAGAAAAUUAACAGUUACCCAGGCAACCAUCCAAUGAGAAUCGUAGGAAAAUUAACAGUUCCACAGACAAUCAUCCAGUGACCACAUUGUCUCUUUUUGGACAUACCAUCUGACGCUUUCUGAAGAAGAUCUUGGGUUGUAAAUAACCCAGGACAGCACCGGAAGAAGCCGUCAGACCACAGGCUAAAUUCCUUAUUAAAAUCUAUAGCUUGCCUAUAAACAGAGACAGACUAUUUUUAUAUAAAAUAACUUCAUUAGUUCUAAAAUGUAGAUCUUGAAUUGUGACCAUAAUAAAAUGAGAAAAUAAAGUGUUUAUACUGAA